CCGGUACACUCUCUUGAAAUUUGCGGAGGAAGUCUGAUGCAGGUGGUUGAUCUGCCUCUGAGGAUAAAGCUUCCUGCAAGAGAUACUCGUCUGACAGAGCACAGGUGAUGAGGAUCUGCUGAGGUGGCCCUAAUGCCAAGGCGGGU